rnacentral:rRNA from 1 species
CCUACGGGAGGCAGCAGUGAGGAAUAUUGGUCAAUGGGCGAGCGCCUGAACCAGCCAAGUCGCGUGAGGGAAUACUGCCCUAUGGGUUGUAAACCUCUUUUGUCAGGGAGCAAAAGCCGGACGUGUCCGGCUGUGAGAGUACCCGAAGAAAAAGCAUCGGCUAACUCCGUGCCAGCAGCCGCGGUAAUACGGAGGAUGCGAGCGUUAUCCGGAUUUAUUGGGUUUAAAGGGUGCGCAGGCGGAUUGUUAAGUCAGCGGUAAAAUCGUGGGGCUCAACCCCAUCCAGCCGUUGAAACUGGGGAUCUAGAGUGUGCGAGAGGUAUGCGGAAUGCGUGGUGUAGCGGUGAAAUGCAUAGAUAUCACGCAGAACCCCGAUUGCGAAGGCAGCAUACCGGUGCACAACUGACGCUGAGGCACGAAAGCGUGGGUAUCGAACAGGAUUAGAUACCCCAGUAGUC